UUUCUAUGAUGAAUCAAACUACCUCACUAGAUUUUAACAAUGAAAAGAUAUGAACACCUGAGAAAC
rnacentral:snoRNA from 1 species